UACGUAGGCAGCGAGCGUUGUUCGGAAUUACUGGGCGUAAAGAGUGUGUAGGCGGUGCUCUAAGUCUGUCGUGAAAUCUCCCGGCUUAACUGGGAGGGUGCGGCGGAAACUGGUGUGCUUGAGGAUGGGAGAGGUAAGCGGAAUUCCUGGUGUAGCGGUGAAAUGCGUAGAUAUCAGGAGGAACACCUGUGGUGUAGACAGCUUACUGGAACAUUUCUGACGCUGAGACACGAAACCGUGGUUAGCAAACAGG
rnacentral:rRNA from 1 species